rnacentral:rRNA from 1 species
UACGUAGGGGGCGAGCGUUGUCCGGAAUUAUUGGGCGUAAAGAGCUCGUAGGCGGCCUGUCGCGUCGGAUGUGAAAGCCCGGGGCUUAACCCCGGGUCUGCAUUCGAUACGGGCAGGCUAGAGUUCGGUAGGGGAGAUCGGAAUUCCUGGUGUAGCGGUGAAAUGCGCAGAUAUCAGGAGGAACACCGGUGGCGAAGGCGGAUCUCUGGGCCGAUACUGACGCUGAGGAGCGAAAGCGUGGGGAGCAAACAGG